AGGCAAAAUGGUGCCGUAACUUCGGGAGAAGGCACGCUGGCAUUAGGUAAAGGGACUUGCUCCCGGCGCCGAAGCCAGUCGCAGAUACCAGCUGGCUGCAACUGUUUAAUAAAAACACAGCACUGUGCAAACACGAAAGUGGACGUAUACGGUGUGACGCCUGCCCGGUGCUGGAAGGUUAAUUGAUGGGGUCAGCCGCAAGGCGAAGCUCUUGAUCGAAGCCCCAGUAAACGGCGGCCGUAACUAUAACGGUCCUAAGGUAGCGAAAUUCCUUGUCGGGUAAGUUCCGACCUGCACGAAUGGCGUAAUGAUGGCCAGGCUGUCUCCACCCGAGACUCAGUGAAAUUGAACUCGCUGUGAAGAUGCAGUGUACCCGCGGCAAGACGGAAAGACCCCGUGAACCUUUACUAUAGCUUGACACUGAACAUUGAGCCUUGAUGUGUAGGAUAGGUGGGAG
rnacentral:rRNA from 1 species